rnacentral:rRNA from 1 species
GCGACCCCAGGUCAGGCGGGAUUACCCGUUGAGUUUAAGCAUAUCAAUAAGCAGAGGAAAAGAAACUUACAAGGAUUCCCUUAGUAACGACGUAUGAAGCGGGAACAGCGCAGCCUUAGAAUUGGGCGGCUCCGUCGUCCGAAUUGUAGUCUGGAGAAGCGUCCAUAGCGGCGGAUCGAGCCCAAGUCCCCUGGAAGGGGGCGCCGGAGAGGGUGAGAGCCCCGUCGUGCCCGGACCCUGUCGCACCACGAGGCGCUAUCUACGAGUCGGGUUGUUUGGGAAUGCAGCCCAAAUCGGGUGGUGAAUUCCAUCCAAGGCUAAAUACGGGCGAAAGACCGAUAGCGAACAAGUACCGUAAGGGAAACAUGAAAAGGACUUUGAAAAGAGAGUCAAAGAGUGCUUGAAAUUGUCGGGUGGGAAGCGGAUGGGGGCCGGCGAUGCGCCACGGUCGGAUGUAGAACGACGACGAGCCGGUACGCCGAUCGACCCAGGGCGUGGACCAGCGUGGAUUGUGGGGCAGCGAAAGCCCUGGCUCUCGAUACUCUCGUGGAAUGCCGUCUCCUCGAUUGUGGCAGGAAGCGCGCGCCUCCGGCGUGCUUCGGCAUCUGCACGCUCCAGACGCUGGCCUGUGGGCUCCCCAUUCGACCCGUCUUGAAACACGGACAAAGGAGUCUAACAUGUGUGCGAGUCAAAGGACGAGUAAACCCAUAAGGCGCAAGGAAGCUGAUUGGUGGGAUCCCCCCGAGGGGUGCACCGCCGACCGACCUUGAUCUUCUGAGAAGGGUUAGAGUGUGAGCAUACCUGUCGGGACCCGAAAGAUGGUGAACUAUGCCUGAGCGGGGCGAAGCCAGAGAAAACUCUGGUGGAGGCCCGCAGGGAUACUGACGUGCAAAUCGUUUGUCUGACUUGGGUAUAGGGGCGAAAGACUAAUCGAACCGUCUAGUAGCUGGUUCCCUCCGAAGUUUCCCUCAGGAUAGCUGGAGCUCGCGUGCGAGUUCUAUCGGGUAAAGCCAAUGAUUAAAGGCCUCGGGGACGCAACGCCCUCGAACUAUUCUCAAACUUUAAAUAGGUAGGAUGGCGCGACUGCUUUGUUGAGCCGCGCCAUGGAAUUAAGAGCUCCGAGUGGGCCAUUUUUGGUAAGCAGAACUGGCGAUGCGGGAUGAACCGGAAGCCGGGUUACGGUGCCAAAAUGCAUGCUACCUAGAUCCCACAAAGGGUGUUAGUCGAUUAAGACAGCAGGACGGUGGUCAUGAAAGUCGAAAUUCGCUAAGGAGUGUGUAGCAACUCACCUGCUGAAUCAACUAGCCUCGAAAAUAGAUGGCGCUUAAGCGCGCGACCUACACCCGGCCGUCGGGGCACGUGCCAGGCCCCGAUGAGUAGGAGGGCGUGGCGGUCGCUGCAAAACCUUGGGUGCGAGCCCGGGCGGAGCGAACGUCGGUGCAGAUCUUGGUGGUAGUAACAAAUAUUCAAAUGAGAACUUUGAAGUCCGAAGAGGGGAAAGGUUCCAUGUGAACGACACUUGCACAUGGGUUAGUCGAUCCUAAGGGUCGGGGAAACCCCGAGAGAUAGCGCGUUUCGUGCGAACUCCGAAAGGGAAUCGGGUUAAAAUUCCUGAACUGGGACGUGGCGGUCGACGGCAACGUUAGGAAGUCUGGAGACGUCGUGCGGCGAGCGACCAACGAACCCUGGCGUGGAAAGCGCUAAGGAAUACUUGAAUCGAUAGCCUGCCCCUUGCGCCCCGUCCACGGCGUGCGUCGGGGGGACCUGUGCUUCUUCUGUAAAUGAAAACGACUCUCGGCAAUGGAUAUCUCGGCUCUCGCAUCGAUGAAGAAUGUUGCGAAAUGCGAUACUUGGUGUGAAUUGCAGAAUCUCGUGAACCAUCGAGUCUUUGAACGCAAGUUGCGCCCGAAACCAUUAGGCCGAGGGCACGUCUGCCUGGGCGUCACGCAUCGCAUCGCCCCCUCACAUCGUGCCUCAAUCACGGGGUGCGCUGUCAUCGCGGGGUGGAUACUGGACUCCCGUGCACCUCGA